AGCCCGACGCAGGGACUGAACCCACGAACCAUGAGAUCAUGACCUGAGCUGACGUUAGACGCUCAACUGACUGAGCCACCCAGGCGCCCCCCUGCCAUUGCUGAUCUUGUUUACAACCCCCAACUUCUGAUUCUUGAUUUGUGAUGCUGAUUCUAAUUACUCUCUCUCCUGCCUCAAAAUCUUCCUGGAGGCCCCAUGUACCAGAGAUGGAAGCCAGCAUUCCUUAGCAGACUAUUCAAGACUCUCCACCAUCUGGUCCUCUUUCCUUCAGACCUCACCUCCCAUUGUUCUUUCCAAGUCUCUAACCUUCUCAUGAGGCCAACCACCUGCUAGUUGCAGAACCCACCACACCUUGAUUUGUUCUGUUUUCCACCUGCUGUUAGCUUCCCAUUUUUCUCUCCCUAGAUGUAGUCUGUGCAGUGUCCAGGGCCCAGGAAACACUAUUGCCUUCUUGAAGCCUUCUCCGCUGUCUCUCGUAAUUAAUUCCACCUCCUCUGCUGUUCCACAUAUACCUCUGCUUAGCUCCUGUCCUAGCCAGCCUUGGGUUAUCACUUCUUGUUUACAUGUUUUCUUACUAUGCUCAGCUUCUUACAGGCAGGAACUCUGCUUCCUUUGUGCUUAUUACCUAGGGGCAUAUAAUAAAUAUUGGCUGAAUGACUCGAUGGAGGCCUUGGGAUUGAUAGCGUCCCUCUUUCAGUCUUGCACUGGGACCUGGAGCAUUCAUGGCAACCUGGAGCAGGAAGCCGGGCUGGGACCGGGGUGAGGUGGGUGAGGAGUCUAGAGCAUAAAAUGUAAGUUGCUCUCAGUUGCUGACCUUGUGCUUGCCUGACCCUGGGAGCUAGUGCCUCUCAGGUGCCUCCCUUGCCUCACCCUCAGCCCUGGCAGGAAGGAAAGAUUGGAGUCUUGGGAUUCAGAGUGAGUCCAUCAAAAGGGACAGGCCAGGUUCCAUAGGGUCCAGUUACUCCUCUCAUACCGACACAAGCCCAACCCAUGCCCAAGGGCCCCCAGCAUGACUCCAGAGCCCACUGGUACCAGAAAAGUGGCAGGUCCCAACAGUCAGGAAUCUGGAACGGCUGACAUGUGGAACACUUUGUAAACAGGCCGAAGGAGUGCAGUCUCUUGAAGGGAACAAGGUACCAGCCUUUGUCCUGGAGCAUGGAACCAGAUAACAGCCUUAGGAUAUGCAGUUAGUAAAAACAGAGCCCCCAGCUAUUGACUGGGGUCUAGGGCAAGAUCAAGUUUUAUGGACCGUGGCAUUAGGGUAACUAGUUGGAACUUACGAGUGGGGCCACGUUUCCAUAGGGCUGACCUCAGUGGGGUUGGGGAUGUGGAAGGAGGAGAAAGGGCUACAUUCUAGUGGGAGUAGGGUCAGUGAGGACAUUUAGCCCGUGUCUCCAAGAACGUUGUGCCCUGUGUCCGGUGGUAUCAAAGGAGAGUGGGGGUGUCACGUGAAGCCCAGAACUCAGCUCUUGGCUCUGGAGCUCAUCUCUGAGGGUGUGAAAGACGCCAGGUCAACCUGAAGAAAGGAAAGGUAGAGGAAGAGAGAGAGGGUGAAGCAGAGGCUGUUUAAAUAUGGCCACAGUACAUCGGGAUUGUUUUGGGGAGGGGGUUGUGCUGGGCUCUCAUGAAGAAUAGCCAACUGGUCCAGUUAUAGGGCUCUAGCAGUGGUCCCCUAUUGCCAGGUCAUGGACUAACGGAGUCAAAAUAUCCAGGGACUCAUGUUAACAGUGUAGUUUUCUGGGUUUCAAACCUUGGGGAUUCUGGUUCAGUCGGUCUAGAGUUCAUUUUAACUGAGGACUCUCAGAGUGAUGUGCAGCCUGAUUUCGGAGCCACUGGCUGGGAACAGACUUAAAGGAGGCAAAGAGGCUGGCAGCUCAUUUGGAGUCAGUCCCAUGUUUUCCUUUAGAAGUCAUUUAAGCCAUGAACGACCUCAAUAAGAAAGCCAACAAUAGGUAAAGCAGGGCACGAUUCUAAGAGACAUUAAGUGUUUCUAGCUGUUAUACUUCCUUUUCUCUGUAUCAUCCCUUUUUGGGUAUCCUAGCGCUCAUUCUCCUGCUUUGAUGUAGUGGUUUUCAAACUUUAACAUGCAAAAGGACCCCCCCACCUCCUCAGAGAGCUUGAGUAAACACACGUGCCUGGCCCUCAUCCCCAGAGUUUCAGAGUAAGUGGGUCUGGGCUGGAGGAGGGCUUGAUUAUUGCACUUCUAACAACUUUCCAAGUGAUGCUGAUGCUCCUGGUCCAGGGAACACACUUUGAGAAACACUGAUCCAGUGGAACAAAAGGUAGAACAUACACAAAGAAUGAGAAGAAGGGGUAGAAGAAAUAUUUCAAGUAAUAACAACCAAGAAUUUUCCAAAACUAAUGACAGAUACCAAACCACAGAUCCAGGAAGCUCAUAAUAGGUAGGAUAAGUAUCAAAAAAUGUACACCUGUGUGUCUUAUAUCUAAUAUGCAGAAAAUCAAAUAUAAAGAGAAAAUAUUGAAAAAUGCCAGAGAGUGUAAAUACCUUCUUACAGAAGAACAAGGAUAAGAGUUAAAAUGGAGUUGUCUGAAAUCACACAAACAAGAGGAGGGCAGUGUCAUCCUUAAAGUGUUGAAAGAAAAGAACCUCACCAACCUCGAAUUCUAUAUCCAGUGAAAUCAUCCUUCACAAGUGAAGGAAAAAUAAAGGCUUUCUUCGACAAAAGCUGAGGGAAUUCAUGGCCGGUGACUUGCUCCGAAAGAGAUGUUAAAAGAUACUCUCAGAGAGAAGGAAAAUGAUAAGUCAGAAGAAAUUGGAUCUAUAACAAGAAUGAACGAGCAUCAGAGAAGGAGGAAGUGCAGAAGCCUUCCAGAUGGGCCAGAGUGAGAAAACACAGGUCAGUACACAUCAUGCAGCUGAGAGCAGAAGACAAGCUGGGAGCAAUCGACAGCUGGAGGGAGAGAACUCACGGUGGCCAUUUGGAUUUGGGUUGUUGGAACUAUUUCUGAGAAGGGCGCUUCUGACUCUGUCUCUCCAAUGCACCAACAACUAAAUGGACAAGAAAACAUAUAAUUGGUUGUUCUGUGACAUUUGGUAUGAAAUAUUUGAUUGAUGCUUUGUAUUGAUACUCAGAUGCUAGGUAUUCUGGUAUUUCAACAGGUGAAUAGUGAUGCAUUUAUGUUAGAGAUUGGCAAAUAAUGAGCUGAGGAAUAUUAAUGUUAUGCAAUAUCAAGAGAUGCUCUAUGCAGUGUGCUGAGUAUGUAUGCAUCGUGAGAAAGGAAUGUGGGGAAAGCCAGGUUCUGAACCAGGUUAAAUAAAGUGAACAGACUCCUG